CUUCCUGGGUGCCCUGGGAAAUGGGCUCCAGGGAACUUUUUGCCGGUGUCCGAAAAGACCUUUUUGUACCCCCCCCCCGCCCCGGUUUCUUCACAUACAAAUAACACUCUUGAGUGAAGGAACAUUCCCUUCCUCAUUUACUAUCAAACGUGCCUGCGCUCUUGCUCCCCGGCCCAGGAGCUAUCAAUAGCCAUAAAAAUGGAGGUGUCCUGGCAUCUGGUUGGGUCACCCCAUCUUUGGCUUUCAUCUGCUUACAAGACCAGUUUGAAAUGUCUCAGCAAGUUAUACUGGUGGAUCUGAGUCCAAAUUCAGGAGCCAGGAGGUCACCUCUGAGAGGGUCUGAGAAGUGACCAGGACGAAGAUUCAGAUCACAGUACCAUCCAGGUCUCUGAAUGUGCUAUAACCCCCUACUUGCAUUGGUAGAGAACAACUGGUAGCAUUAUGCCCUAGACCUUGGCUCCAGAGAUUUCAGGUAUGUCCCCUGGGCUGUAGACCUGAAGCUCACCUCUUGAUUCCUCUACUCCCACCACUGGAAGACACUGUUCUUAAGUUUAACCUGCUAAGUUUAACCUCCAGAAUUGAUUCUGAUCUCUUCACCCUGUACUGUUUCAUGCCUUUGAGCCUUAUCCUGUUUUCUUGCCUAACUCAUGCAUAGCUUUUUUUGCAUAACAUCCUCCAAGAAGUCUUCACUAAUCCCUUUCCUUCG